AUUGAACGCUGGCGGCAUGCCUUACACAUGCAAGUCGAACGGCAGCACGGGGCAACCUGGUGGCGAGUGGCGAACGGGUGAGUAAUGCAUCGGAACGUGCCAUUGAGUGGGGGAUAACGUAGCGAAAGUUGCGCUAAUACCGCAUAUUCUGUGAGCAGGAAAGCAGGGGACCGCAAGGCCUUGCGCUCUUUGAGCGGCCGAUGUCAGAUUAGCUAGUUGGUGAGGUAACGGCUUACCAAGGCGACGAUCUGUAGCGGGUCUGAGAGGAUGAUCCGCCACACUGGAACUGAGACACGGUCCAGACUCCUACGGGAGGCAGCAGUGGGGAAUUUUGGACAAUGGGCGCAAGCCUGAUCCGGCCAUGCCGCGUGAGUGAAGAAGGC
rnacentral:rRNA from 1 species